rnacentral:rRNA from 1 species
CCUACGGGAGGCAGCAGUGGGGAAUUUUGGACAAUGGGCGCAAGCCUGAUCCAGCCAUGCCGCGUGAGUGAAGAAGGCCUUCGGGUUGUAAAGCUCUUUCGGCCGGGAAGAAAUCGCACGCUCUAACAUAGCGUGUGGAUGACGGUACCGGACUAAGAAGCACCGGCUAACUACGUGCCAGCAGCCGCGGUAAU